rnacentral:tRNA from 1 species
GGGCCCGUAGCUCAGCGGUUAGAGCUGUCGACUCAUAAUCGAUCGGUCGCAGGUUCGAUUCCUGCCGGGCCCA